UUAGGAAUAUUCGUCAAUGGGGGAAACCCUGAACGAGCAAUGCCGCGUGAAGGAUGACGGUCCUAUGGAUUGUAAACUUCUGUUGUUAGGGAAGAACGACUAGUAUAGGAAAUGAUACUAGAGUGACGGUACCUUUCAAGAAAGCUCCGGCUAACUACGUGCCAGCAGCCGCGGUAAUACGUAGGGAGCGAGCGUUAUCCGGAUUUAUUGGGUGUAAAGGGUGCGUAGGCGGUUUAACAGGUCUGUGGUCUAAGUCCGAAGCUUAACUUCGGUUCGCCACAGAAACCGUUUUACUUGAGUAUGGUAGAGGCAAGUGGAAUUUCUAGUGUAGCGGUUAAAUGCGUAGAUAUUAGAAGGAACACCAGUGGCGAAGGCGACUUGCUGGGCCAUCACUGACGCUGAGGCACGAAAGCGUGGGGAGCAAAUAGG
rnacentral:rRNA from 1 species